AACGAACGCUGGCGGCAGGCUUAACACAUGCAAGUCGAACGCCCCGCAAGGGGAGUGGCAGACGGGUGAGUAACGAGUGGGAACAUACCCUUUUCUACGGAAUAGCUCUGGGAAACUGGAAUUAAUACCGUAUAAGCCCUACGGGGGAAAGAUUUAUCGGGGAAGGAUUGGCCCGCGUUGGAUUAGCUAGUUGGUGGGGUAAAGGCCUACCAAGGCGACGAUCCAUAGCUGGUCUGAGAGGAUGAACAGCCACAUUGGGACUGAGACACGGCCCAAACUCCUACGGGAGGCAGCAGUGGGGAAUAUUGGACAAUGGGCGCAAGCCUGAUCCAGCCAUGCCGCGUGAGUGAUGAAGUCCUUAGGGUUGUAAAGCUCUUUCACCGAUGAAGAUAAUGACGGUAGUCGGAGAAGAAGCCCCGGCUAACUUCGUG
rnacentral:rRNA from 1 species